rfam:Parcubacteria bacterium GW2011_GWE2_38_18 TS81_C0003, whole genome shotgun sequence.
GCGCCCAUAGCUCAGCCGGUAGAGCAGAUCCCUUUUAAGGAUAAGGUCCUAGGUUCGAAUCCUAGUGGGCGCA